rfam:Human gut metagenome DNA, contig sequence: F2-Y_008647.
UAUGUUUGAAUCCUAGAAGUUCUUAAUGUUCUGUAAUUAUACUAGCCAUGUUUGAACACGAUGUUCAAACAAGCCGCCACUGAGCCAUGGAUGGCGAAUUGGCGGCGGUGGCGUAUUAUAUCAAUAUAUAAAUCAGAACAUUUAGAACUUCUUAGAUUCAAUACAUU